rnacentral:sRNA from 1 species
GCUUGGCGCGGCGGCAGCGGCGGCUAGGAGAGCGGUCGACGGGGUUCCUUCGUUGCAUUGCCCGAGAGAAGCAGAGUCUGCGAGGUGGUGUCCAUCAUGUUCUCUUUCAACAUGUUCGACCACCCGAUUCCCAGGGUCUUCCAAAACCGCUUCUCCACACAGUACCGCUGCUUCUCUGUGUCCAUGCUAGCAGGGCCUAAUGACAGGUCAGAUGUGGAGAAAGGAGGGAAGAUAAUUAUGCCGCCCUCAGCCCUAGACCAACUCAGCCGACUUAACAUUACCUAUCCCAUGCUGUUCAAACUGACCAAUAAGAAUUCGGACCGCAUGACGCAUUGUGGCGUGCUGGAGUUUGUGGCUGAUGAGGGCAUCUGCUACCUCCCACACUGGAUGAUGCAGAACUUACUCUUGGAAGAAGGCGGCCUGGUCCAGGUGGAGAGUGUCAACCUUCAAGUGGCCACCUACUCCAAAUUCCAACCUCAGAGCCCUGACUUCCUGGACAUCACCAACCCCAAAGCCGUGUAUCUUUUUCAAAUAAGCAGAGUUCUUCUAGACAAAGGAGAGUGUGCUGGCGGUUGUUAAACAUCAUGUACUGUAUUGAAUCUGUGCCUGCUUUGGGGAUCACACAUUUGUGAUUCAAGUUGUGAUUUGAGAAUAAUGGGGUUCAGCUAGCACAUCUGCAUGGCCCUGUCCAAGUGCACUGGCUGCUGUCUGGGCCACCUCUGUCACUUUCUAGACACUUCCUGGAGACCACAAUGAAGCCCUUCUUUCAGUUGGUCUGUGUCACCUAGCACAAAGCCAGGAUGCACAGUAUGUCCAGUGGAAGGAGGGAGCAGCUCAUCUGCCUUCAGCUCCAGCCCCUUCUGUGGCUCCCUAGUACCUCCGCCCAGCCGUGCACUGGCCCGUCAACCUCACUGCAUGCCAGCCUGAGAGCUGAUUCACUCCAGGCCAAUAGGUAGCAAUGACUGCAGUUUCUGUGUCACCAAGCAGA